rnacentral:misc_RNA from 1 species
GCUGAAGAACGUAGUGAAAUGCGAUAAGUAAUGUGAAUUGCAGAAUUCAGUGAAUCAUCGAAUCUUUGAACGCACCUUGCGCUCCUUGGUAUUCCGAGGAGCAUGCCUGUUUGAGUGUCAUUAAAUUCUCAACCAUUAUCAACUUUUGCUGAUAAUGGCUUGGAUGUGGGGGUCUAUUUUGCUGGCUUCUCAGAUAGUCAGCUCCCCUUAAAUGCAUUAGCCGGUGCCCCGCGUGGACUGUCUAUUGGUGUGAUAAUUAUCUACGCUAUGGACAUCUGCAAUCAUAUGGGUUUGCGCUGCUUCUAACAGUCUGUUGAUUCAGACAAUACAUGACAAUUUGACCUCAAAUCAGGUAGGACUACCCGCUGAACUUAAGCAUAUCAAUAAGCGGAGGA